rnacentral:rRNA from 1 species
CUUAGAGACAGGUGCUGCACGGCUGUCGUCAGCUCGUGUCGUGAGAUGUUGGGUUAAGUCCCGCAACGAGCGCAACCCACGUAUUUAGUUGCUAACGGUUCGGCCGAGCACUCUAAAUAGACUGCCUUCGUAAGGAGGAGGAAGGUGUGGACGACGUCAAGUCAUCAUGGCCCUUAUGCCCAGGGCGACACACGUGCUACAAUGGCAUAUACAAUGAGACGCAAUACCGCGAGGUGGAGCAAAUCUAUAAAAUAUGUCCCAGUUCGGAUUGUUCUCUGCAACUCGAGAGCAUGAAGCCGGAAUCGCUAGUAAUCGUAGAUCAGCCAUGCUACGGUGAAUACGUUCCCGGGUCUUGUACUCACCGCCCGUCACACCAUGGGAGUUGAUUUCACUCGAAGCCGGAAUACUAAACUAGUUACCGUCCACAGUGGAAUCAGCGACUGGGGUGAAGUCGUAACAAGGUAACCG